UAAUACAGAGGGUGCGAGCGUUGUCCGGAAUCACUGGGCGUAAAGGGCGCGUAGGCGGUCCCCUAAGUGUGUGGUGAAAGCUCGGGGCUCAACCCCGAGUCGGCCGUGCAAACUGGGGGACUCGAGCAUGUCAGAGGCAGGCGGAAUUCCGGGUGUAGCGGUGGAAUGCGUAGAGAUCCGGAAGAACACCGGUGGCGAAGGCGGCCUGCUGGGACAUGGCUGACGCUGAGGCGCGACAGCGUGGGGAGCAAACAGGAUUAGAUACCCUGGUAGUCCACGCCGUAAACGAUGGGCACUAGGUGCUUGGGGGAGCGACCCCCUGAGUGCCGGCGCUAACGCAUUAAGUGCCCCGCCUGGGGAGUACGGCCGCAAGGCUG
rnacentral:rRNA from 1 species